CACGUAGGGCGCAAGCGUUUGUCCGGAAUUAUUGGGCGUAAAGAGCUCGUAGGCGGUGUGUCACGUCGUUCGUGAAAACCUGCAGCUUAACUGUGGGCGUGCGGUCGAUACGGGCAUCACUGGAGUUCGGCAGGGGAGACUGGAAUUCCUGGUGUAGCGGUGAAAUGCGCAGAUAUCAGGAGGAACACCAAUGGCGAAGGCAGCUCGCUGGGACGGUACUGACGCUGAGACGCGAAAGCGUGGGGGAGCAAACAGG
rnacentral:rRNA from 1 species